UACGGAGGAUGCAAGCGUUAUCCGGAAUGAUUGGGCGUAAAGCGUCCGCAGGUGGCAAUGUAAGUCUGCUGUCAAAGCGUCUGGCUCAACCAGAUAAAGGCAGUGGAAACUACAUAGCUAGAGUAAGGUAGGGGUAGAGGGAAUUCCUGGUGUAGCGGUGAAAUGCGUAGAUAUCUGGAGGAACACCGGUGGCGAAGGCGGCAUCCUGGACCGGCAUUGACGCUGAGGCGCGAAAGCGUGGGGAGCGAUCCGG
rnacentral:rRNA from 1 species